rnacentral:lncRNA from 1 species
AUGUGUGCAUUCGCCUACAUGUACAUGUGUGUGUGCACGUGGUACACAUGUGCGAUUGGCAAGCGUGUGCACACAUAUGUAUAUGGGCACAUGUAUAUGCAGGCAUGUAUGCACGUUUGGGCACAUAUAUGUACAGGCAUGUAUGCACACGUGGGUGUGCAUGUAUAUUAUAUGAGCACACGUGUGCGUCCACUUACAGGCAUGUGUGCAUGUAUGUGUGUUUGGCGUGUGCGUAUUUGUUACGUAUAUGUGGCCACACACGGAUACAGGUAUGUGUACACAUGUGCACGCAUGCUUGCCCAGAUACAGACCUGCACGCCUCCCUGCCCUCCAUCCCGCCUUUGGGGUCUCCAUCACCGCUGCUUGUUGAUACGUCUUGAAAAGGUCCAGGCUGGCGGGCAUGUCCUGCUGCCCAGGUGGGCAGGAGUGGGAACAGCAUAUCUGGGCCUUCUCCAGGUUUCCUCUGUCAGCCCGGAGGAGGGCAAUCACGACGCAAUUUCUUACAAUAAUGAUACCUCACAUUGCAUAAUCGUUCAUGUCCUUCAAAAUAUUGAAAAUCGUAGCACAGAAAGUUUGAAGGGUUCCACAGCAACUCAGCACCACGAAGUCAGCCACGGCCCCACACGUCGACGGCUCAGUUGGGUGACAUGGCCGGCCCCGGGGACGCCUCUUUCUGCUGACGUUCAUCCACAUCCACAUCCAGAGCUUCUCGGUGUCCAGGAGAUGCUGCCAGCUCCUGGCCCCAGGAUGGGUGUGAGGCUGUGGCCCCGGGGUGAAAAGCUACAUCUCCCACGGCAGAUAGCCACCAUCACGGCUGUUAGAUGCCUGCGGACCGGACAAUGCAUCUAAAGGAAAACGGACCCAGGCGGGAAGACCAGCGGCCGCCCGAGUGUUGGCAGAAGCAGGCCCGUUGCUGAAUCGUGAUGUUUGUAGAAAUCGCUGUUUUAGCCACUGUUGGCUCCUCUCAAACUCCUGACCGACCCCAAGAGCUGCCGGGAAGCCCCUUCCCCUGCGACUCCUCAGGGACACGGGCUCCGGCUGCAGCCUCAAGUGACCCCUUUGCAGGAGUCCAAGAAAAGAGAAGCUGCUUCUGUGGAUUUCUGUCCUAGAUGAAGCCACAGCGGCAGGAAGUGGUAGCUGGCUGCUCCCAGGGUCUGUUUGGCUGGGACAAGAGGUCUCAAAGCUGUCCCUGGGAAGGAGCUUAGGCGGUGCUGAGCUGAUGUUCAGGGGGGCGGAGGGAGAGACAGGGAAAAAGCUUAGGCAGUGCUGAGCUGAUUUUCGGGGGGGCAGAGGGAGAGACAGGGCCGGAGACACGGGGAACACGGUCCAGAGGCAGCGGGGAGCAGUGGGAGGGAGAGCCAGAUCCUUUGCGACACUGGCUGUGGGCUGGGACAACGGGGAGGGUGAGGCAGUCCCAGCUCUCAGGGCCUCUGGCCCAGGAUGGGGUGUGAGAUGGCCAAGCUGCCGUGGGGCCGCCCAGGAGGAGGAGAAGCAAACCCAUCGGGGAGGGCUCACGGGCCUGGUGGUAUCUGCAGAGGCUCCUGAAGGGUGUGUGAGAGUGUCCAGGAAGGGUGCUUGGAGGGAGCCCUGGGCGAGUGGCCGGCACGAACAAAGGCCUAGGGUGCCCAGAGCCCUGUGUGGGUCGGAGCUGGGUCUUUCCAGGUCAGGGUUAAGGUUCGGGCUGUGUCUCUUUUCCACAGCCCUUGAGAGCGUAAGAUUUCCGCAAAUGUAGCUUGCAUGGUUUCUGACAGUCAGAAAUAAUCCACAUGGUAGGCUUUCUGUAAUCCUGUACUUUAAAAUUGGCAUCACAGACCAGUGCCCCUGCAGAGAGCAGCCUGGGCCUCCAAAUGGAGGAGCCUGCUGGGGAAUGAGCUGUCUCGGGGGUCCACACUGGAGGAGCCACACCCAGGCUGGAAAGCCUCUAUGCAUAGCGGGCCCCGGAGCCGCAGGUCCCUGGUGCAGGGGGUGGAGGUCAGGCAGGCCCUGGGCAGCCAACUGCUGCCCGAAGCCCACCCUGAGGAGGGAGGGAGGCAGAAGAGGAGGCAGGACAGAUCCCUUGGGGGAGGCAAAGCCACUUCCCCAGACCCAGCAGUGCCCAUAUCUGGGGGACCCCAGGAAGGGCCGGCACUUCGUGGACACCCCUCCGGCCAGGCCCUUGGUUCCAAGUUCACACCGGCUCCCUGUGGAAUGGUCUGACGGACAGGAGUCUGACCUGGAGAAUCCAUGCCUCUCACACAUGGAGCUGGGCAACAGCUGGGACCUGCCCCGCUCAGCCUCAGGCUCCCCGGAGGCUCCCCUGCCACAAGAGGGGCUGUCCCGGGUGCUUCGAGUGGAGUGAGCUAGAGGGAGUGGGACAGUAGGGCCGCCUGGGAGAGCCGGCCUUGCCCACCACCUGGCCGGAGCUGGACUGACGUCGGCUGGCUCCAAGUCCAGGAGGACACUCAUGAACUCUGAGCUACUCAGAGGGUACGAGUCCUGCUGCAACACAGUGGUCUUUACAAAGUGUGAAUGAACUGAAACUUCAUAAAUCAUCUAAAUUUACAAUAUCCAAACAGAACUACCUCUUUUUAAGAUUUAUUUAUUUAGUUAUCGAGAGAGGGUCUCGCUCUGUCACCAGGCUGGGUGCAAUCGUGGCUGACUGCAGCCGCGAACUCUCAGACCCAG